rnacentral:rRNA from 1 species
AUUGAACGCUGGCGGCAUGCCUUACACAUGCAAGUCGAACGGCAGCACGGGUGCUUGCACCUGGUGGCGAGUGGCGAACGGGUGAGUAAUACAUCAGAACAUGUCCUGUAGUGGGGGAUAGCCCGGCGAAAGCCGGAUUAAUACCGCAUACGAUCUACGGAUGAAAGCGGGGGACCUUCGGGCCUCGCGCUAUAGGGUUGGCCGAUGGCUGAUUAGCUAGUUGGUGGGGUAAAGGCCUACCAAGGCGACGAUCAGUAGCUGGUCUGAGAGGACGACCAGCCACACUGGGACUGAGACACGGCCCAGACUCCUACGGGAGGCAGCAGUGGGGAAUUUUGGACAAUGGGCGAAAGCCUGAUCCAGCAAUGCCGCGUGUGUGAAGAAGGCCUUCGGGUUGUAAAGCACUUUUGUCCGGAAAGAAAUCCGUGGCCCUAAUACGGUCGGGGGGAUGACGGUACCGGAAGAAUAAGCACCGGCUAACUACGUG